GACGAACGCUGGCGGCGUGCCUAAUACAUGCAAGUCGAACGCAGUGGGGACGGGUGAGUAACAUGUGGGUAACCUCCCUUCAGAGGGGAUAACACUUGGAAACAGGUGCUAAACCGAUACUGAUGGAUGGACCCGCGGUGCAUGAGCUAGUUGGUGAGGUAACGGCUCACCAAGGCCACGAUGCAUAGCGGACCUGAGAGGGGGGGCGGCCACCCUGGGAUGGAGACACGGCCCAGACUCCAACGGGAGGCAGCAGUAGGGAGUGUUCGACAAUGGACGAAAGUCUGACCGAGCACCGCCGCGUGGGUGAAGGAGGUUUUCGGAUCGUAAAACUAUGUUGUUAGAGAAGCGGUAUCUAACCAAUAAGCCACGGCUAACUACGUGCCAGCCGCCGCGGUAAUAC
rnacentral:rRNA from 1 species